ACGCUGGCGGCAGGCCUAACACAUGCAAGUCGAGCGGUAGAGAGAAGCUUGCUUCUCUUGAGAGCGGCGGACGGGUGAGUAAUGCCUAGGAAUCUGCCUGGUAGUGGGGGAUAACGCUCGGAAACGGACGCUAAUACCGCAUACGUCCUACGGGAGAAAGCAGGGGACCUUCGGGCCUUGCGCUAUCAGAUGAGCCUAGGUCGGAUUAGCUAGUUGGUGAGGUAAUGGCUCACCAAGGCGACGAUCCGUAACUGGUCUGAGAGGAUGAUCAGUCACACUGGAACUGAGACACGGUCCAGACUCCUACGGGAGGCAGCAGUGGGGAAUAUUGGACAAUGGGCGAAAGCCUGAUCCAGCCAUGCCGCGUGUGUGAAGAAGGUCUUCGGAUUGUAAAGCACUUUAAGUUGGGAGGAAGGGUUGUAGAUUAAUACUCUGCAAUUCUGACGUACCGACAGAAUAAGCACCGGCUAACUCUGUGCCAGCAGCCGCGGUAAUACAGAGGGUGCAAGCGUUAAUCGGAAUUACUGGGCGUAAAGCGCGCGUAGGUGGUUUGUUAAGUUGGAUGUGAAAUCCCCGGGCUCAACCUGGGAACUGCAUUCAAAACUGACUGACUAAAGUAUGGUAGAGGGUGGUGGAAUUUCCUGUGUAGCGGUGAAAUGCGUAGAUAUAGGAAGGAACACCAGUGGCGAAGGCGACCACCUGGACUAAUACUGACACUGAGGUGCGAAAGCGUGGGGAGCAAAC
rnacentral:rRNA from 1 species